rnacentral:rRNA from 1 species
AUUGAACGCUGGCGGCAGGCUUAACACAUGCAAGUCGAGCGGGGAAGGGUAGCUUGCUACCUGACCUAGCGGCGGACGGGUGAGUAAUGCUUAGGAAUCUGCCUAUUAGUGGGGGACAACAUUCCGAAAGGAAUGCUAAUACCGCAUACGCCCUACGGGGGAAAGCAGGGGAUCUUCGGACCUUGCGCUAAUAGAUGAGCCUAAGUCAGAUUAGCUAGUUGGUGGGGUAAAGGCCUACCAAGGCGACGAUCUGUAGCAGGUCUGAGAGGAUGAUCCUGCACACGGGGACUGAGCCAGGGCCCCGGCUGCUACGGGAGGCAGCAGUGAGGAAUAGUGGACGAUGGGCGGAAGCCUGAUCCAGCCAUGCCGCGUGCGUGAAGAAGGCCUUUUGGUUGUAAAGCACUUUAAGCGAGGAGGAGGCUACUGAGAUUAAUACUCUUGGAUAGUGGACGUUACUCGCAGAAGAAGCACCGGCUAACUCUGUGCCAGCCGCCGCAGUAA